rnacentral:rRNA from 1 species
UAGGGAAUCUUCCGCAAUGGGCGAAAGCCUGACGGAGCAACGCCGCGUGAGUGAUGAAGGUCUUCGGAUCGUAAAACUCUGUUAUUAGGGAAGAACAUAUGUGUAAGUAACUGUGCACAUCUUGACGGUACCUAAUCAGAAAGCCACGGCUAACUACGUGCCAGCAGCCGCGGUAAUACGUAGGUGGCAAGCGUUAUCCGGAAUUAUUGGGCGUAAAGCGCGCGUAGGCGGUUUUUUAAGUCUGAUGUGAAAGCCCACGGCUCAACCGUGGAGGGUCAUUGGAAACUGGAAAACUUGAGUGCAGAAGAGGAAAGUGGAAUUCCAUGUGUAGCGGUGAAAUGCGCAGAGAUAUGGAGGAACACCAGUGGCGAAGGCGACUUUCUGGUCUGUAACUGACGCUGAUGUGCGAAAGCGUGGGGAUCAAACAGGAUUAGAUACCCUGGUAGUCCACGCCGUAAACGAUGGGUGCUAAGUGUUAGGGGGUUUCCGCCCCUUAGUGCUGCAGCUAACGCAUUAAGCACUCCGCCUGGGGAGUACGACCCCAAGGUUG